GUCCCUGUAGCGCAAUAGAUAGCACCACACACUUUGGACUUCUUAUCCAAAGGUCGUGGGUUCAAAUCCUACCUGGGAUA